UACGUAGGGGGCGAGCGUUGUCCGGAAUCAUUGGGCGUAAAGCGCGUGUAGGCGGCCCGAUAAGUCCGCUCUGAAAGUCCAGGGCUCAACCCUGGAAUGCGGGUGGAUACUGCCGGGCUAGAGUCCGGAAGAGGCGAGUGGAACUCCUGGUGUAGCGGUGGAAUGCGCAGAUAUCAGGAGGAACACCAAUAGCGAAGGCAGCUCUCUGGGACGGUACUGACGCUGAGACGCGAAAGCGUGGGGAGCGAACAGG
rnacentral:rRNA from 1 species